rnacentral:sRNA from 3 species
UAUCUCUCCGUACGGGGAAGGAUGAGAAGCUUCGACUAAGGUUCGAUUCGAGCGAAAGCGAGAAAGCGUUGCCAACGGCAACGACCCGAAGGGCGAAGCGCGCAGCGCUGAGUAAUCCUUCCCCCGCCACCA